rnacentral:sRNA from 1 species
UGAUCCUAUUGAUGCAACACCUAGCGCAAGUCAACCUGGAUUUUCUCCACGUAUGUGGAGG